GGCGGCGGCGUGCUAUACAUGCAAGUCGAACGCUUCUUUUUCCACCGGAGCUUGCUCCACCGGAAAAAGAGGAGUGGCGAACGGGUGAGUAACACGUGGGUAACCUGCCCAUCAGAAGGGGAUAACACUUGGAAACAGGUGCUAAUACCGUAUAACAAUCGAAACCGCAUGGUUUUGAUUUGAAAGGCGCUUUCGGGUGUCGCUGAUGGAUGGACCCGCGGUGCAUUAGCUAGUUGGUGAGGUAACGGCUCACCAAGGCCACGAUGCAUAGCCGACCUGAGAGGGUGAUCGGCCACAUUGGGACUGAGACACGGCCCAAACUCCUACGGGAGGCAGCAGUAGGGAAUCUUCGGCAAUGGACGAAAGUCUGACCGAGCAACGCCGCGUGAGUGAAGAAGGUUUUCGGAUCGUAAAACUCUGUUGUUAGAGAAGAACAAGGAUGAGAGUAACUGUUCAUCCCUUGACGGUAUCUAACCAGAAAGCCACGGCUAACUACGUGCCAGCAGCCGCGGUAAUACGUAGGUGGCAAGCGUUGUCCGGAUUUAUUGGGCGUAAAGCGAGCGCAGGCGGUUUCUUAAGUCUGAUGUGAAAGCCCCCGGCUCAACCGGGGAGGGUCAUUGGAAACUGGGAGACUUGAGUGCAGAAGAGGAGAGUGGAAUUCCAUGUGUAGCGGUGAAAUGCGUAGAUAUAUGGAGGAACACCAGUGGCGAAGGCGGCUCUCUGGUCUGUAACUGACGCUGAGGCUCGAAAGCGUGGGGAGCAAACAGGAUUAGAUACCCUGGUAGUCCACGCCGUAAACGAUGAGUGCUAAGUGUUGGAGGGUUUCCGCCCUUCAGUGCUGCAGCUAACGCAUUAAGCACUCCGCCUGGGGAGUACGACCGCAAGGUUGAAACUCAAAGGAAUUGACGGGGGCCCGCACAAGCGGUGGAGCAUGUGGUUUAAUUCGAAGCAACGCGAAGAACCUUACCAGGUCUUGACAUCCUUUGACCACUCUAGAGAUAGAGCUUCCCCUUU
rnacentral:rRNA from 1 species